UGUCACACCUUUCCAAGUUGUGGCACUUCUGACUGGAUUCUAUGUGUUGAGACACCCGAGGUUUCGCCAGAAGCUUCCUUCUGUCCCUCUCAACUUCUUUAGAAGAUUGCCAGCCAGAACUGACUGCAUGCUAUGAGAUGAUCAACACCAGAAUGGAAUCAUCAAUUCCAGAGAAGGUUACUCUAUAAUCAAAAAAAGCCAUUCCUUUCUUCAAUUCCUGGUAUGAUGCAUACAACUAUCUUGGAACAAUGUUUUUGUAUAUCUUGUGGUUCUGUAGUCCUUUCUUACAUUUCAAAUUUCAUGGUCUGUGUUUUAUUUAGGUUGUGUUUUUUUAUUUGAUUGUUAUUAGUAGAUUAUGACAAUCAUCUUUGGUGAUAAUAUUCGAUAAAUAUCUUGGAUUGGCAGUAAUUUUUAUCAAAUGUUUCUUUAAGUAGGAGAGAAUCUUCAUUACUGUGUUGUGUUUUUGUUUGUGUGAUAAUAAAAUAAAAAUAUAAAAACAAUGGGACAAAAAUAGCACACCCCUCUUUUCUGCAGGAGCAGAAUAUAUUUGUUUUAGCAAGUUGGUGGUUUUUUUGUUGUAGUAUGGAAACAGACAAAGAUGAGAUAAAUCUCAUAAGUUGAUGGACCCAUGUGCAAAUGAACAUGGUUUUAUUCUAGGAUAUACUGUAUAUAAUUGUUUCCACUAUCAUGCGUAAUCAUUAUAUAGAACUUUUUGUGAAUGGCUAUGAAUUUGUACAUAGCAGUUACCUUCUUUUAUAUGAUGAAACAUGAUUAUUUGUGCUGUUACUUUAUUCUAGGCCACAAGUACAAAAUAGUACCUUAUUCUAAGACCAUGAUUAUUGGUCAGAUGAAUUAUUCUGUUUUCUGUGUGUAUUUGACUUUUUUGGUACAAUAUUAUUUAGGAAAUUACCUAAGAUUAAAAAGGGUAAAUGGUUAUGGUGUUUGGCUAUUUAUUUUUAAAGCAUACAACACAAAGUAGGGAUUGGUUGGCAUUUAUCUUUGCCGUGUUUGACAGCUGUGUAGACAAUGAUCUUUUGAAAAGCAAUUUUGGAAUUUUAUGUAAGCGUGGGAUCUUAUCACAUGUGCCCUGUUUUUAUCAAUAUGACCUUUUUUGGAGCUUCUUUCUGCAACAAAUAUUGAUUAGUUCUUUGAUUCAAUUAUAUUACUACUUUUCUUGAACAAGAAUCACAUGGUUUAUAUAUGUUUAGAUAAAACAAAUCAACUAAGACUUGAUUAUGUAGUGUGUAUGUAUAUGCAUAAUUCAUGUAUGCUAGUAUAUGUAUGUGUGUGUGUGUGUGGGUAUACAUGUUUUAAUAGCGGAGUUACCGAUAAAGUAGGAUUCUAUGAUUACAACAAAUUUGAGUAGAACUAAGAUAAGGUUACAAAAAUCAUUUAGGACAAGUCAAUAGACUCCUGGCUAAAUUCAAGUCUCGAACCACGUUUACUAAUAAACAACCCAUAUCGAGUUUUUUCCUCUAAAUAUUGAAGCAUUUGGUUUUAAGAAUUACAUUGCAGUUAAGUUGGGGUACACAUGAUUAUGCUAAUAUUUAUUCACAACAAACUAAAUAUUUUGAUGAGUAAUUGGAAAGUGCCAACAAGACAAGGAUAAGGUAUCAUAUCAAUUUGUAAUGUUCCAUGGACAAGCGUAAGAGUAUCAAUCCAAGAAGACCAUGAAAUGUUAGAAAUACAAAGGAGAAUUCAAAAUCAUUAAAUGGAGAAUAGAAAUAAACAAAAGAACUCAAAAACAUUAAAUGCAAUAAACGGUGAUAANAGAGCACAAGCACAUAAAUACCGUACAAUAAACACAAUUAAAAGGAGAUGGCUCCAAUACAUAACUUACUAAAUCCUAAUUUUAAUAAGCAUUCACACCCUCAUAUUUAAGUAUAUAUCUUUAAAAGGCACCAACUCUUUCAUGUCUAUCUUCACACUAGUGUUCGUAAUUCACAAAUUUAACAUCAUGACGGAUAAAUGAAUAUUAGGAUAAGAUUAUACCUGAAUGAUGCGUUGAGAUGAAUUAACGAUGGAUUAUGUUGAAUAAUCGAAUAUUUAUGUGGAUAGUUUGGAUAGGGCUCUGCUAUUCAAAAAUAGACAAACUAUUUCAACAGAGGAAGAACUUUGAGAUCAACUCAAGUCUUAAAUACUCAAACUUAACUUGUUUAUUUCAUAUGGGCGAAUGCCCUAUUUAUAGGCUCGAAGGAGCCGGUUACAAUUAUUGUUGCAAUCGUUUGAUUGCAAAACGACACACAUAAUUUACAAUAUAGACCCCUAGACUAUGGAGGGUCUUACAUCCUACUGACACUAUUUUAACACAAACGACAAAUACAAAUAAUUCUACCGACACUUUACAUAAUUAAAAAUAUAAUAAUCCCUUCCACAUUGAAAUGACAAGUGUCUUCAAGAAUGUCUUCAAUAAUGGCUUUUUACGUCAUUGCUUAUGUCAUUAGGUGUCUUCAAUAAUGGUUUUUUUACGUCAUUGCUUACGUUAUUCCUCCCAUUAAUCUUCCAUGAAUGGUGUUUCUUCUGUGUUUUCUGAACAGUGACUGUAAUGGUGUCUUGGUGCAUGCAUAAUAUGUUUACAAAGUUGUUUUUUGAUAUCAGCAGGUAAUUCAGCUAAUUGAUGAGAAAACUUUUCNGGUUGUUCGAGGUUUCAAUUGCUUUCAUUGCUUCCGGAGUGAUUUCACUGUCUGUUAACGAAUAGAUACAAGUUUUUGUGGUGUGAAGCUGAAUAUGGGUUUUUGUGGUGUUAGAAGAACUGUUUUUGAACAUUCGACGUUAUCUUUUAUUACUGCUUUGUAUGCUUCGUUGUAUGCGGUUUCUGCUUCAUUUUUUGUUCUGUAACUUUUGUGAAUGAUAUUUUUUCCAAGAAUAUAUGAACUGGCGAUUCCCCAAUCGUCAUAUACUCCUUUGUUUUCUCUGUUGAAAAUUACGUACCAUUUCUUUAUAUUUUUAUGAUCUGCUUGUAGUGGUGGAUACUCCUCCUGGUUUGGCGUCAUGGUUUGUUUUUCUGUUUCGAGUGCUAUUUGUGGUUGACUUUCAUCGGAUGAUAUUUCUUGAAUUUCUUCUUUUGGUUGCUUUGUUGUUGAGCUGCUGGCUGCUUCUUCUUUAGAUGCUGAAUAAGAUGAUAGAAUUCGUAUUGUUUGUUGUAGCUGCUCUUUUUCACGUCUGACUACUUCAAGCUGUCUGAUUAAUGAUGCUUCUUGCUUCUCUUUUUGUCUGAACUGGUGUUUGACUUGCUUCAUGAUGGCUUCCAUUUCAAUAUUUCUGUUGAAUGAAUAUUUGCGCCUUUUGGGUACCUGAAUGAUUGCUGAAUUUUGUUUACUUUUAAUAUGAUGAUAUGAGAAUUUUCAUAUCAAUGUAUGCUUUGGUGAUAUUUUCAUAUCACUGUAUACUUUAUCAUUGUUUACUUUGGAUGAUAUUUUCAUACCAAUAUAUGCUUUAGCAAUGUAUACUUUGGAUAGGUUAGAUAUGAGGUUUCCCUCAUGUUUUAAACCCAAUAAUGCUGUCUUCAUAGGACUUAUUUAUCUGAAUCAGAAUCAGUAUCAGUUGUAUAUGCAUAAAUAUCUAUAUCUGAAUCUAUUCCUGAAUCUUCUAUAGGUUCAUACCCGAGAUCAUAUGCUAUUUUUAAUAAGUUUGUUUCUUUUUCCUUUUUAGUCUUUUUUGGACAUUCGUAGGCUUUGUGUCCGUCUUCUUGACAUAUCCAACAUUUACAAUCUUUUUUAUUAGAUGGACAGUAAUUUGUGUUAGAUUGAUAUUUUUUCUUAUAUUGUUUUCUGUCUCGAAAAUAUUUUCUUUCACCUUGUUUAUAAUAUUGUUUAUAUUUAGGUUUAUAAGUUUGUUUUUUCCAAUUUUUCUUUUUAUAUUUUUGUUUUUUAUUAUCUUUACAACCAUAUUGAUUAACUUUAUUAGAUAAGGUAUCACAACAUAAAUCAAUUCUUGCAUCUUGUGUUGUUUUUUGUUCUAAACAUUUUUUCUGCAUCCAUGCUUUUAAUAUACUUAUCCUUGCUCCUAAGGUAUCUGCAAUUUUAUUUUGUUGUAAUGCUUCUUGGAAAUCUUUUAUUACACUUUGACUUACUAAUGAUGGUAAUUUUUGGUAAAACAUGUCUAAUGCUCUUUUUUCUAGUAAAAUCUAGAUUAUAAUAAUGUUCAAAAUAUUCGCAUAUAAAUGGGUCUAAAUAACACAUGUUACAAAUUCGUAAGUUAGUUAGAUGCCAUAAUGAUUCUAAUUGAAAAGCUUCUUGCGAUGUUUUAUCUUCUAUUUGUUUUCCUAUGAAUUCUUGAAUAAGUCGAUUUAAUACAUUUUUAAAUGUUUCUAAAGCGUCAGUGGUUGCUAUCAUCAUCGUCUCUGUUUCAUCGAGAGAUGAAAGGAAACGAUAUGCAUUGCCCUAUGUUUUAUGUAUAAUAUAAUUAAGAAAUUUUUUUGGAUGUAGAUUUCUUAAUUCUUCAGUUAGUUGAAUUUGAAUUCCCAUUUUAUUAUUCCAUUCUUGAAUUUUUGCUUCGGGAUUUUGCUCACAAUCAAUAAAAAGAAUAUCUGAAUUUGUUGGAAAAGUAAAUAGUUUAGGUAUAUAUUGUGGAGGUAUUUUUUCCCAUUUGUUUUGUUUAUUUUUGACCAUUCCUUGUCUAUAUAAAAAAUUUUCUUCUAACGAAGGUGGUCCAUAAAUAUAUUGACUUUGAUAAUCAUCUUCAACAUAUGAUUGUUUUCGUUUUAAUCCAAAAUUAUUUUGCGAUUCUUUAUAUGGAUUUGAAUAAGGGUUUUCAUCAUCAGAUGAAAAAUCAUAUAUUACUUCUGUAUCAUUAUUAUUUUCUAUUUCUGUGUUAUUUUCUUGAAUUUCGGAUGAAAUUUCUAGUACUGCGAAUAAUUUAGUUAAUGUAUCUACUUUUUCUUGUAAAGUUUCCAUAUUAAUAAAUUUUUAGUUUCUUUUUAUUUGCGGAGUAGUUAUUAUUGGUUGAAAAUUAGUUUCAUUAAAAAUUCUAUUAUUAGUCAUAUUUGGUGAUUCAAGUGAUAAUAAAUGUGUAAAUAAUUUAUCUAUAUAAAUUCUAUCUUCUGUUUUAAACGUAAUAUUAUGAUGAAAAUUUGUUAAUGCAUAAUUUAUUUGAUAUGUAAUAGUAAAUGAAUGAUUCCCUUUUAACAUAAAAUUUUGUCUUAAUAAUUUAUAUCGUACGGUAAUACUAUUACUUAAAUUUUUAUCUUUUAGACUUAAUCCUAGUUGUAUAUUAAUAUCAAAUUUUAUUUUUCCUUCAAUUAAAUUUCCUUUUCUUUUUGCAAUAAUACUUUCUUGAUUAUUAAUUAUACGAUCAUCUCUAAUUUCUAAUUCUAUUGGUGUGUCUAAAUCGCUAAAAGUACUUUUUAAAAUUAUUUGAAUAGUUGAUAUAUGAAUAUAAGCGAUUUUUGUUCUAUUUAUUUCUUUAAUAUUAGAUAGUCUGUUUCUAAUUUAUUGUUUAUUUAAUAUAGGUGUAAUAAUAUUUCCUUGAGUUGAUUCCAUAGGUAUUGGUUCUUCUCCUAUAAUUUUUCCAUAAUAUAUAAUAUUUUUUCUAGAAAAGAAAUUUUUCAAUGAGUUAUAUCUAAAAUUAUGUUUUUCAAUAGUGUAAAAUUUGAUUUUCUUAUAACAUCUUUAUUAAUAUUAUUUUCGUUAUUAAUAAUGAUUGGUGUAUUUUCAAUUUCUUGAGACAUAUUUAAUAAAUUAUUCUUGUUAUUUUAUCUUCAAUAUUUUUUUAUUUGUUAAUAUUUAACCUUGAAAAACUCAUGAUUAUAAUUUUUAGAAACAAAAUGAUAAAUUACUUUUUCUUUCAAAGUUACGAUUUAUAAAUUCUAAUAAGAUGUUGAUGGUGGGGUUUUUUUUAAUACUAUUAUAUUUAUGAUGCGGUCAGAGAAUUAAAAACUUUUUUGACAUAUGAAAUGUGUUUCUAACUUCUUGGUAUAUAGUCAUAAUUGUAAAAAACCUUCUACCGACAUAUGUUUAAAUUGUAGGUGGAUAAUAGUAUUUGAUUUUAAUGAGAAGUUUAUGAUAAUAACUUAUAACGAUGAAUAUUUGUAACGAUGAAUAUUUAUAAGAAUAUAUAUGAUGAUGCAUGAUGAGCAUAUAUUCAUAUGAGCGAAAGAUUUAACAUUCAUAAUAAUAAUAGUAAGAACGUUACUUAGCUCUGAUACCAAAUUUAACAACAUGACGGAUAAAUGAAUAUUAGGAUAAGAUUAUACCUGAAUGAUGCGUUGAGAUGGAUUAACGAUGGAUUAUGUUGAAUAAUUGAAUGUUUAUGUGGAUAGUUUGGAUAGGGCUAUGCUAUUCAGAAAUA
rnacentral:lncRNA from 1 species